AUACUUACCUGUAUCACUGAAGAGAUAUCAUGAUCAAGAAGAUGGUUUUCCCAGGGCGAGGCUUAUUCAUUGCACUCUGGUUGUGCUGAUCCCUGCGAUUUUCCCAAAUGGGGGAAAGUCAACUGCAUAAUUUGUGGUAAUGGGGGGCUGUGUUCUUGCUUUCCCCUA